CCUCGACGAAUAUGUACAGAAAGCCUACUGUAAGCGUGAAGACCCUGUGCUGAGGGAGGAUACAUUUUUGGAGAGUGGAGACAUCCCAGGACUGAAGACACAAGCCUCCUGUCCAGCUCUAAGCAAUGCAGCAAUGCAAGGACAGCGUACAGUACAAGUUUGGAAAAGUUUCUCUUUUUCUGGAACUGCGGGCAGAGAAGGGAUCUCAGAUCAACCUCAGGUCAGCAGCAUAGUUACAGCAAACCUCCAUUUCACUUUGUUUAGAGAGGUUACAGAUAAAGUACGUUUUCGUUGUUUUAUAUUGUAUUGUUUCGUUUUGUUACCCAAUUUAGAUCUUGCUUUUUUAUUAAUGCUGCUUGAUCACAACCUGUGGUAAUUAACCAACCCUUUGGAUGGGGCUUAAUUUUAAUUAAACAAUGCUCCAAUUCUUAAUAGGCUAAAUGUUUGUUACUUCUCCAACUCUUAUCACAAGGUAAUUUUGUAGUACUUCAUAGAUUUUCUGAGAAAUUGCUUUAUCAAUUUUUCCCUGCAGCUGUACACUGAAUCUGACUUGUAUUGCUAGCUGUUGCUUUAAAUUAAUUUUCUAAUUUUUCCAGUUCUUUCUAUUUGGCUAGUUAGUCCUUACAUUAAAUUUCUUCACCUUCUGAUUAACAAUUAACAGUACUUAUGGCUGUUCUAUGGCUAUAAAAUUGGCCUUGCUGGGUUCCACAUUUAUCUUGCUUUAAUGAUCAAAUUUGUUUGGUGUAAGAUUUUUUUUCCUCGACAUCAGCUUUCUAUAUUCUGGGAUCUACAACUCAAGCUGUGUCCCUUUAGCCUCUUACAUCAUCACCAGCAAUAAAGAUUUUACUGUCAGGACUUGGCUGACAAAUUUGCAGGCUCUUUAUUACUGGUGAUGAUGGACUAUAAGAAGCAGAAAAAACACAGCUUGAAUCUCAUUCCCAGCUUGAAUUUGCAAGGCUGGCAUUUAGAAAAAUUAUGUUGUGAUUUCACAAACCAAGAAAAUUUGAAGACGCAAGUCAGAGAAUUAAUAAAAAACUUUCCCCCAUCUUCUUCUGAAAUGGCUUUGGUGAAGUCAUUGCACAGUGUGGAUUUGGUCAAGUCUCCACCAACAAAAUUGAAUGUUUACAUAAUUCACGUGACUUCCUCUUACUUCAAGUACCUGUGUAACUUCAGCUAGAGGCACUUGAAGGACUGAACUACCUUGCUCUAGGGCAAGACAUUUUCCUGUUGUGUUCUAAGGGUACACCAGAAAAAUCAUGCGUCAAUGGAAACCUAAGCAUUGUGUAGCCCAGAGAAUUAUCUAUUCUAUGGGAGCUAUUUUACAACUCUGUAAAUGACAGAUAACUAAUAGCAAAGCAAAAUAAUUCUUGUCUAUAGACAUCCAAAUUCUGCCCUGUUCAGCAGUUCAAUUGACUUCCUUCUGCCACUGUGGAAGGAGCUGAUUUUGCCUCCAUUUGCACAUUUGUUUCAACAUUCCUUUAUUUCAUAUUUCUCCUUUGCACCAGUUAUAAGAUCCACUUGGUUUCCUCGUUGAUUGAGUUAAAAUAUCUAACACAUGUUCAUUUUAUCUGAGUCAUAAUUUACUUUUCUUAAAAUUAUAUUUUAACAAUAUCUAAUCGCUGUACAUAAACUAUAAAAUUAUCGUUUGAUAAAGUAAUAAGGUAAAGUACUGCUAGGAAGUAGUUGAAGCCCACGUUUGAGAAUCACUACACGUGGUUUCUAAUGCCAGAUUUGUUCUUUGCUAUCUCGGCAAAUUUAAAUGCUUCUAAUUUCAUUACCUCAUAUAUAAAAUGUAGGUAAUAAUACCUGCUUUGUGGGUGAAUGAAAUAAUACAAAUUACUACAUACUUUGAUUAGUCAGUAUUUGUUAUUAUGUUCAUAAUAUUAAUUAUCCUUAUUGAUGCAUUAUUUAAACAUAAUCAAAAUGAACUUGUUAAUUGCUUAAGAAUUCCAAUUGAAAUAUUGUUACUGUACUCUUGAGCUUCUAAUAUAGUGCAU
rnacentral:lncRNA from 10 species